rnacentral:rRNA from 1 species
AGUAACACGUGAGCAAUCUGCCCUUGUGAGGGGGAUAACGUCUGGAAACGGACGCUAAUACCGCAUAACAUGUAUUUCUCGCAUGGGAGAUACAUCAAAGAUUUUAUCGCACAGGGAUGAGCUCGCGGCUGAUUAGCUAGUUGGCGGGGUAACGGCCCACCAAGGCGACGAUCAGUAGCCGGACUGAGAGGUUGAACGGCCACAUUGGGACUGAGACACGGCCCAGACUCCUACGGGAGGCAGCAG